rnacentral:misc_RNA from 1 species
GAUGAAGAACGCAGCGAAAUGCGAUAAGUAAUGUGAAUUGCAGAAUUCAGUGAAUCAUCGAAUCUUUGAACGCACAUUGCGCCCCUUGGUAUUCCGAGGGGCAUGCCUGUUCGAGCGUCAUUAUAACCCCUCAAGCUCAGCUUGGUGUUGGGGCCUGCUGCACUGGCAGCCCCUAAAAUCAGUGGCGGCGCCAUCUGGCUCUAAGCGUAGUAAUUCUUCUCGCUAUGGAGUCCUGGUGGAUGCUUGCCAUCAACCCCCAAUUUUUCUAUGGUUGACCUCGGAUCAGGUAGGGAUACCCGCUGAACUUAAGCAUAUCAAUAAGCGGAGGA